UCUCCUGGAAAACGGGUGGUAAUGCCGGAUGCUCCAGUUGGCCGCAUGUUCUUCUGGGAAAGAUUCAUCGGUAUGGGAUGGGGUCGCGUCCUAUCAGCUUGAUGGCGGGGUAACGGCCCACCAUGGCUUCGACGGGUAGCCGGCCUGAGAGGGCGACCGGCCACAUUGGGACUGAGAUACGGCCCAGACUCCUACGGGAGGCAGCAGUGGGGAAUAUUGCACAAUGGGCGCAAGCCUGAUGCAGCGACGCCGCGUGCGGGAUGACGGCCUUCGGGUUGUAAACCGCUUUUGACUGGGAGCAAGCCCUUCGGGGUGAGUGUACCUUUCGAAUAAGCACCGGCUAACUACGUGCCAGCAGCCGCGGUAAUACGUAGGGUGCAAGCGUUAUCCGGAAUUAUUGGGCGUAAAGGGCUCGUAGGCGGUUCGUCGCGUCCGGUGUGAAAGUCCAUCGCUUAACGGUGGAUCCGCGCCGGGUACGGGCGGGCUUGAGUGCGGUAGGGGAGACUGGAAUUCCCGGUGUAACGGUGGAAUGUGUAGAUAUC
rnacentral:rRNA from 1 species